GCACAUUCCAUUCCAUGCAUUCCACACAUUCCUGACAUUCCUAGCAUUCCUGAGGGCGGGUUAGGGUUAGGGUGACUUUUUUGCGCGACGUACAACUUUAAAAGUCCGGUUUUUUCUAAAAAUCGGCAUCUCAAAGUUAGGAAAUCGAUCGCUUUAUCAGUCUUGGACCUACCUCUGACCCUGAAAAACCAUCUUCAAGACCUCCAUCGUCAGAAGAUAUAUCAAAUACACCAAUAGUACUUAUAACAUUAACAUAACAACAGUACAUUCAUAAUACUACAACAAUAGUACAACCACAAUAGUACAAUAACAAUAGUACCAACAAUAUUACAACAAUAAUACCACAAUAAUACAACAAUACUACAACAGUAGUACAACAAGGACUGAAUUUAAUAUAUCUCAAUCACUGCAUAUGGAGUCCACUUUCCCCAUCUAUUCAAGAUAUAUUUAAAAAUCUACUUUCAUGCGACAUACAUCACAACUGUACUAACACUCUUG